AAGCAUAUCAAUAAGCGGAGGAAAAGAAACCAACAGGGAUUGCCCUAGUAACGGCGAGUGAAGCGGCAACAGCUCAAAUUUGAAAUCUGGCUUUUUUAGAGUCCGAGUUGUAAUUUGCAGAGGGCGCUUUGGCUUUGGCAGCGGUCCAAGUUCCUUGGAACAGGACGUCACAGAGGGUGAGAAUCCCGUACGUGGUCGCUGGCCUAUUGCCGUGUAAAGCCCCUUCGACGAGUCGAGUUGUUUGGGAAUGCAGCUCUAAAUGGGAGGUACAUUUCUUCUAAAGCUAAAUAUUGGCCAGAGACCGAUAGCGCACAAGUAGAGUGAUCGAAAGAUGAAAAGCACUUUGGAAAGAGAGUCAAACAGCACGUGAAAUUGUUGAAAGGGAAGCGCUUGCAGCCAGACUUGCUUACAGUUGCUCAUCCGGGUUUCUACCCGGUGCACUCUUCUGUAGGCAGGCCAGCAUCAGUUUGGGCGGUAGGAUAAAGGUCUCUGUCACGUACCUCCUUUCGGGGAGGCCUUAUAGGGGAGACGACAUACUACCAGCCUGGACUGAGGUCCGCGCAUCUGCUAGGAUGCUGGCGUAAUGGCUGUAAGCGGCCCGUCUUGAAACACGGACCAAGGAGUCUAACAUCUAUGCGAGUGUUUGGGUGUCAAGCCCGAGCGCGUAAUGAAAGUGAACGGAGGUGGGAACCCGCAAGGGUGCACCAUCGACCGAUCCUGAUGUCUUCGGAAGGAUUUGAGUAAGAGCAUGGCUGUUGGGACCCGAAAGAUGGUGAACUAUGCUUGAAUAGGGUGAAGCCAGAGGAAACUCUGGUGGAGGCUCGCAGCGGUUCUGACGUGCAAAUCGAUCGUCAAAUUUGGGCAUAGGGGCGAAAGACCUUAAUCGAACUAUCUAGUAGCUGGUUC
rnacentral:rRNA from 1 species